rnacentral:rRNA from 1 species
UAACACAUGCAAGUCGAACGAGAACGGAUUUUAGUUUACUAAAAUUGUCAGCUAAGUGGCGCACGGGUGAGUAAUAUAUAGUUAACCUGCCCCAAAGAAGAGAAUAAUUGAUGGAAACGUCUUGUAACUCUCUAUAUGCCUUUAUCACAUAAGUGAGCAAGGGAAACAUUUAUGGCUUUGGGAUGGGACUGUACGGUAUCAGAUAGUUGGUGAGGUAAUGGCUCACCAAGUCAAUGACGCCUAACUGGUUUGAGAGGAUGAUCAGUCACACUGGAACUGAGACACGGUCCAGACUCCUACGGGAGGCAGCAGUGGGGAAUAUUGCACAAUGGAGGAAACUCUGAUGCAGCAACGCCGCGUGGAGGAUGACACAUUUCGGUGCGUAAACUCCUUUUAUAUGAGAAGAUAAUGACGAUAUCAUAUGAAUAAGCACCGGCUAACUCCGUGCCAACAGCCGCGGUAAUACGGGGGGUGCAAAGCGUUACUCGGAAUCACUGGGCGUAAAAGAGCAUGUAGG